rnacentral:rRNA from 1 species
AUUGAACGCUGGCGGCAUGCCUUACACAUGCAAGUCGAACGGCAGCACGGGGCAACCUGGUGGCGAGUAGCGAACGGGUGAGUAAUGCAUCGGAACGUACCUUUCAGUGGGGGAUAACGUAGCGAAAGUUACGCUAAUACCGCAUAUUCUGUGAGCAGGAAAGCAGGGGAUCGCAAGACCUUGCGCUGAUUGAGCGGCCGAUGUCAGAUUAGCUAGUUGGUGAGGUAAAGGCUCACCAAGGCGACGAUCUGUAGCGGGUCUGAGAGGAUGAUCCGCCACACUGGAACUGAGACACGGUCCAGACUCCUACGGGAGGCAGCAGUGGGGAAUUUUGGACAAUGGGGGCGACCCUGAUCCAGCCAUGCCGCGUGAGUGAAGAAGGCCUUCGGGUUGUAAAGCUCUUUCGGCCGGGAAGAAAUCGCACGGGCUAAUACCCUGUGUGGAUGACGGUACCGGAAUAAGAAGCACCGGCUAACUACGUGCCAGCCGCCGCUGUAAAAC